GACGAACGCUGGCGGCGUGCCUAAUACAUGCAAGUCGAGCGCAGGAAACUGACGGAACUCUUCGGAGGGAAGGCAGUGGAAUGAGCGGCGGACGGGUGAGUAACACGUAAGGAACCUGCCUCAAGGAUUGGGAUAACUCCGAGAAAUCGGAGCUAAUACCGGAUAGUUCAUCGGACCGCAUGGUCCGUUGAUGAAAGGCGCUUCGGCGUCACCUUGAGAUGGCCUUGCGGUGCAUUAGCUAGUUGGUGGGGUAACGGCCCACCAAGGCGACGAUGCAUAGCCGACCUGAGAGGGUGAUCGGCCACACUGGGACUGAGACACGGCCCAGACUCCUACGGGAGGCAGCAGUAGGGAAUCUUCCACAAUGGACGAAAGUCUGAUGGAGCAACGCCGCGUGAGUGAUGAAGGUUUUCGGAUCGUAAAACUCUGUUGCAAGGGAAGAACACGUACGAGAGGAAAUGCUCGUACCUUGACGGUACCUUACGAGAAAGCCACGGCUAACUACGUGCCAGCCGCCGCUGUAACAC
rnacentral:rRNA from 1 species